GUCUGAAGAAGCGUCAAAAGAAGCGGGAGACAUAUUGGAUUUAUUGAAGAACGAGAGCGACGGAUACAGGCACCUUGAUUUUGACUCCUCGAGAGAAGCAGGUGGUGAGUGGGACUGUGAGACGGUGAGGUUGAUCAGAGCCUGGAGCAGAAGAAAAAAAAAACACUAAGGUGGGUUUUCUUUGAAUACAUGAAAAGACCAGCAUCAUCGUCAAAAGAUGGCCUCCAAUUAUCUUCAAAAAUGGAGAAAGGUCAAUACCAUAGUCAACAAAUUAGCUGAGAAUGAGAGUGAAGAUGAGUUCAUGGAUAUACUGCUGGAAAACGGACAAUUCUGAGUCAGAGGUUGUUUUGACAUUUUGUGCAUCUUAACUUUGGGCAUGACUUUUGUAGACAAUGACAAUCACCAUGAGUGUUCCACUAUCAUGCCAGAAGAAAUCAGGAAGAGACAUGUAAAGAAGAGGACAUACUGUAUGAUUUUGUUGAUGAAUCCACCAUGGACGUGUGUACUUGGACUAGACGGCUGCCAAAUUCAUCCACAGAGGAUGCUGAAAGUGGUAUUUUACACUAAAGGUGUUUCCGCACCUGGAAAAGUCCUGGAAAUGGUUGUCAAGGUCAAGGGAGCGUUCCAACUCCCCUGAUCACCAAUCAAGUCAUGGAAGUGAUGGAGGAUCUUCCACUUCUUCUCAAUCAUCAUUGGGCUCAUCUUCCAGAUAUGGACAGUCCCGCUCAAUCAGGGAACAUCCCAACUCUUCCUAUCACCGAUCAAGCCAUCAAAGUGCUACACCUUCCACUCUAGGACACUCAACAUCCAGACAUGAAACACCAUGGCUAUAUUUCCAAUGCCCAUCACCAAAUUCCAGAAAUGUGUCCUGAAGAAGCUUGUGGAGCUUACAGAGGAGAUCGUACAGUUAAGUACGAUUGGCGGCAAGAACAUCAAGGACUGCACAACUAAGAUCUUGGACAGGCUGAUGACAAACUCCCGGAUGUCUUCAUUCAAUAUGAAGGGCCACGGUUCCAAAAGGGCAUUCCAACCGACAGAACUUUACACCAUUGUGACAGCUGCUGUCAAAAGGUGGGACAGCAAAGCCACAGACCAUGAAAUUUCACGUACUAUGGCAGACCAUUUCAAACAUGCUCCUGGGCGGUCUGGUGGUGGAGGCUAUCUUUGUGAUUAUGAAUUUGUGAUUAUUUUUAAUCAUGAAUUCAGGGUGGCUUCAUGGAGACGUCUUUUCAACGACCUGAAAAUGACGGCUUUCACUUUUCAACCAAAUCUAAACGUAUUUUCAACGCCUGGACAUGAUGUCUUUUCAACGUCUUUUCAACCAAUUUUUGCUGGGUGGGAUGCAUUGCUGGGCAGUUACAGGCAAAAUGAGAAAAACCUUUACGUGGUUUGGUGCAUCUGUGGUUCAUUGUUGGGCAGUUAUAGGCAAUGUUCAAGAAUGCACUCUAUUCGGUCUGAAACGUGUUUUUUAGCAAUAAUUGUUAAAUUCAGUCACUGCAAGCCAGAAGAAGGUGCUAUAGGCUCAAAUGUCAUGCAUGUGGUGUAACUUCUCCGCCCUGCAUGGUGAAUGUGGUUUGGUGCUGCUGGGAUGCAUUGUUGGUAAAUUACAGGCAAAAUGAGAAAAAGUAACUCUUUCGGCC